rnacentral:lncRNA from 1 species
AGAGAAGUAUGCUAGCGUUGGUGCCCGGGGCUGUUUGUGAUGAGAAUGGAGCCCCGCGUGAUUCUGUUGCCUCCCAAGAGUAGGAAUUAAGUCUGUUUGCUAGGUCUGGAUGAGUACUUGUUUAAUCCUGAAAACGAAAUGUUUCUACUGUUUCAAUCCCUGAGGUUUGGAUUGCUUGUUGUAAUCCUGAGGUUUUGCAUGGAAUUAAGUCUGUUUGUUAUGUGUGGAUGAGUACUUGCUUAAUCCUGAGAAUGAAAUGUUUCUACUGUUUGAAUCCCUGAGUUUAAGCAUGGAUUUCUUGUUGUAAUCCUGAGGUUUUGCAUGGAAUUAAGUCUGUUUGCUAUGUGUUGAUGAGCACUUGCUUAAUCCUGAGAAUGAAUUGUUUCUACUGUUUGAAUCCCUGAGUUUAAGCAUGGAUUUCUUGUUGUAAUCCUGAGUUUAAGCAUGAAUUAAGUCUGUUUGCUAUGUGUGGAUGAGCACUUGCUUAAUCCUGAGAAUGAAAUGUUUCUACUGUUUCAUUCCCUGAGUUUAAGCAUGGAUUUCUUGUUGUAAUCCUGGGGUUUCGCAUUGAAUUAAGUCUGUUUGCUUUGUGUGGAUGAGCACUUGCUUAAUCCUGAGAAUGAAAUGUUUCUACUGUUUGAAUC